AUACGGAGGGUGCAAGCGUUAAUCGGAAUUACUGGGCGUAAAGCGUGUGUAGGUGGAUUGUUAAGUCAGAUGUGAAAGCCCCGGGCUCAACCUGGGAAUUGCAUUUGAUACUGGCAAUCUAGAGUAUGGUAGAGGGUAGUGGAAUUCCCGGUGUAGCGGUGAAAUGCGUAGAGAUCGGAAGGAACAUCAGUGGCGAAGGCGGCUCUCUGGACCAAAACUGACGCUGAGGUGCGAAAGCGUGGGUAGCAAACAGGAUUAGAAACCCCAGUAGUCC
rnacentral:rRNA from 1 species